rnacentral:lncRNA from 1 species
CAUGCCUAUCAAGUCUACUAGACCUAGAUCUUAGUCGAUUGGAUCUCGGGUCUACUAGACCUAGAUCUUAGUCGAUUGGAUCUCGGGUCUACUAGACGUUGAUCUUAGGCGACUAAGAGACUUGGUACACUAUAAAGGAUCAGAGUGCAUUUCAUUCCUUGGACCUUUGACCAAUCGACUAGCCCUAGUAGUAUGGCUCAAGAACCCAAUUCACAGUGGUGUGGUGCUAUCAACCCUCAUCGUCCAAACUUCCAGGGUUUAGGCAACACGACCAUAAACCUAUUGAUCUGGUUGAUAAGUCUAUAUACGUAGGAUCAUUAGUAUCAUCGGUAUCCCCCUAGCCUCGGAUUAGCGAGGGACUUCCCUGAAUCAAUUAAGUCUCUUGUAAUAAGUGUUCUUCUAUCCCUAAUACCUGUUUAUUUUAGAUUUAAAAGAUCUAUACUUUAUUCUUAAUGGUGUAAUCGUUGGAAGUUCAUAUUUUCCAAACAAAAUCA